CCUAUGUCGGAUUAGCUAGUUGGUGAGGUAAUGGCUCACCAAGGCAGCGAUCCGUAGCUGGUCUGAGAGGAUGAUCAGCCACAUCGGGACUGAGACACGGCCCGAACUCCUACGGGAGGCAGCAGUGGGGAAUAUUGGACAAUGGGGGCAACCCUGAUCCAGCCAUGCCGCGUGUGUGAAGAAGGCCCUCGGGUUGUAAAGCACUUUCAGCGAGGAAGAACGCCUAGUGGUUAAUACCCAUUAGGAAAGACAUCACUCGCAGAAGAAGCACCGGCUAACUCCGUGCCAGCAGCCGCGGUAAUACGGAGGGUGCAAGCGUUAAUCGGAAUUACUGGGCGUAAAGCGCGCGUAGGUGGCUUGAUAAGCCGGUUGUGAAAGCCCCGGGCUCAACCUGGGAACGGCAUCCGGAACUGUCAGGCUAGAGUGCAGGAGAGGAAGGUAGAAUUCCCGGUGUAGCGGUGAAAUGCGUAGAGAUCGGGAGGAAUACCAGUGGCGAAGGCGGCCUUCUGGACUGACACUGACACUGAGGUGCGAAAGCGUGGGUAGCAAACAGGAUUAGAUACCCUGGUAGUCCACGCCGUAAACGAUGUCGACCAGCCGUUGGGUGCCUAGCGCACUUUGUGGCGAAGUUAACGCGAUAAGUCGACCGCCUGGGGAGUACGGCCGCAAGGUUAAAACUCAAAUGAAUUGACGGGGGCCCGCACAAGCGGUGGAGCAUGUGGUUUAAUUCGAUGCAACGCGAAGAACCUUACCUACCCUUGACAUCGACAGAAGCCGAGAGAGAUCUUGGUGUGCCUUCGGGAACUGUCAGACAGGUGCUGCAUGGCUGUCGUCAGCUCGUGUUGUGAAAUGUUGGGUUAAGUCCCGUAACGAGCGCAACCCUUGUCCUUAUUUGCCAGCACGUAAUGGUGGGAACUCUAAGGAGACUGCCGGUGACAAACCGGAGGAAGGUGGGGACGACGUCAAGUCAUCAUGGCCCUUACGGGUAGGGCUACACACGUGCUACAAUGGCCGGUACAAAGGGCAGCGAGCUCGCGAGAGUCAGCGAAUCCCUUAAAGCCGGUCUCAGUCCGGAUCGGAGUCUGCAACUCGACUCCGGAAGUCGGAAUCGCUAGUAAUCGUGAAUCAGAA
rnacentral:rRNA from 1 species